rfam:Schistocephalus solidus strain NST_G2 genome assembly, scaffold: SSLN_scaffold0000700
GGCCUGGUAGCUCAGUUGGCUAGAGCAUUGGCUGUACUAAAGCCUUACCCCUACUGGCGUGGGUUUCAAUCACACCGAGGCCA